rnacentral:misc_RNA from 1 species
GAUGAAGAACGUAGCGAAAUGCGAUAAGUAAUGUGAAUUGCAGAAUUCAGUGAAUCAUCGAAUCUUUGAACGCACAUUGCGCCCCCUGGUAUUCCGGAGGGCAUGCCUGUUCGAGCGUCAUUUCACCACUCAAGCCUCGCUUGGUAUUGGGCAACGCGGUCCGCCGCGUGCCUCAAAUCGACCGGCUGGGUCUUCUGUCCCCUAAGCGUUGUGGAAACUAUUCGCUAAAGGGUGUUCGGGAGGCUACGCCGUAAAACAACCCCAUUUCUAAGGUUGACCUCGGAUCAGGUAGGGAUACCCGCUGAACUUAAGCAUAUCAAUAAGCGGAGGA